AAUGAACGCUGGCGGCAUGCCUAACACAUGCAAGUCGAACGGCCGCACGGGAAGCUUGCUCUCCUGCCGUUAGCGACUGGCGGGUGGGUGACACAUGGAUCAGCUCCUUAUUUGUCGUGGGUAACUACGGAGGAACACUUAUACUACUGCCGCAUAUGUCAUACGGGUGGGAUCAAUUGUGCUUCGGCGCUUUGGCGUUUGUAUGAGCUGGUUUCGCGCCGCAUUAGCUAGUUGGUAAGGUAACGGCCUACCAAGGCAACGAUGCGUAGCUGACCUGAGAGGGUGAUCAGCCACACUGGAACUGAGACACGGUCCAGACUCCUACGGGAGGCAGCAGUGGGGAAUAUUCGACAAUGGGCGAAAGCCUGAUCGAGCAAUGCCGCGUGGGUGAAGAAGGUCUUCGGGUUGUAAAGCUCUUUUGUUAGGAAAGAAAAACUGUGGGAUAAAACAUCCACGUUCUGACGGUACCCAAAGAGAAAGCACCGGCUAACUACGUG
rnacentral:rRNA from 1 species